AGGGAGUUGAUGACUAUUUCCCCAGAUGAUCGAAGUUGAUUAUACUGAGCGCAUUAUUAAUCUCUUUCAAGAGACCAAGCCAAUAUAUCUGAUCCAU